AGGCCUUCGGGUCGUAAAGCUCUGUUGUUAGGGAAGAACAAGUACCAGAGUAACUGCUGGUACCUUGACGGUACCUAACCAGAAAGCCACGGCUAACUACGUGCCAGCAGCCGCGGUAAUACGUAGGUGGCAAGCGUUGUCCGGAAUUAUUGGGCGUAAAGCGCGCGCAGGCGGUUCCUUAAGUCUGAUGUGAAAGCCCACGGCUCAACCGUGGAGGGUCAUUGGAAACUGGGGAACUUGAGUGCAGAAGAGGAAAGCGGAAUUCCACGUGUAGCGGUGAAAUGCGUAGAGAUGUGGAGGAACACCAGUGGCGAAGGCGGCUUUCUGGCCUGUAACUGACGCUGAGGCGCGAAAGCGUGGGGAGCAAACAGGAUUAGAUACCCUGGUAGUCCACGCCGUAAACGAUGAGUGCUAGGUGUUGGGGGGUUCCACCCUCAGUGCUGAAGUUAACACAUUAAGCACUCCGCCUGGGGAGUACGACCGCAAGGUUGAAACUCAAAGGAAUUGACGGGGGCCCGCACAAGCAGUGGAGCAUGUGGUUUAAUUCKAAGCAACGCGAAGAACCUUACCAGGUCUUGACAUCCUCUGACCACUCUAGAGAUAGAGCUUUCCCCUUCGGGGGACAGAGUGACAGGUGGUGCAUGGUUGUCGUCAGCUCGYGUCGUGAGAUGUUGGGUUAAGUCCCGCAACGAGCGCAACCCUUGACCUUAGUUGCCAGCA
rnacentral:rRNA from 1 species